rnacentral:rRNA from 1 species
UACAGAGGUCCCAAGCGUUGUUCGGAUUCAUUGGGCGUAAAGGGUGCGUAGGCGGCGCGGUAAGUCGGGUGUGAAAUCUCGGGGCUUAACUCCGAAACUGCAUUCGAUACUGCCAUGCUUGAGGACUGGAGAGGAGACUGGAAUUUACGGUGUAGCGGUGAAAUGCGUAGAUAUCGUAAGGAAGACCAGUGGCGAAGGCGGGUCUCUGGACAGUUCCUGACGCUGAGGCACGAAGGCCAGGGGAGCAAACGGG